rnacentral:misc_RNA from 1 species
UCCGGUUUGACACCGGCAGUCUCCCUAGAGUUCCCGGCUUUACCCGCUGGUAACUAGGGACAAGGGUUGCGCUCGUUGCGGGACUUAACCCAACAUCUCACGACACGAGCUGACGACAGCCAUGCAGCACCUGUGCACGGACUCCGAAGAGGGGCCGAUGUUUCCACCGGCUUUCCCGUGCAUGUCAAGCCCAGGUAAGGUUCUUCGCGUUGCUUCGAAUUAAACCACACGCUCCGCUGCUUGUGCGGGCCCCCGCCUAUUCCUUUGAGUUUUAACCUUGCGGCCGUACCCCCAGGCGGUCAACUUCACGCGUUAGCUACGGUACCAAGGAAUCGCUUCCCCAACACCCAGUUGACAUCGUUUAGGGCGUGGACUAC